AGCGAACGCUGGCGGCAGGCCUAACACAUGCAAGUCGAACGAACCCUUCGGGGUUAGUGGCGGACGGGUGAGUAACACGUGGGAACGUGCCUUUAGGUUCGGAAUAACUCAGGGAAACUUGUGCUAAUACCGAAUGUGCCCUUCGGGGGAAAGAUUUAUCGCCUUUAGAGCGGCCCGCGUCUGAUUAGCUAGUUGGUGAGGUAAUGGCUCACCAAGGCUACGAUCAGUAGCUGGUCUGAGAUGAUGACCAGCCGCAUUUGGACUGAGACACGGCCCAAAAUCCUACGGGAGGCAGCAGUGGGGAAUCUUGAGCAAUGGGCGAAAGCCUGACGCAGCCAUGCCGCGUGGAUGAUGAAGGUCUUAGGAUUGUAAAAUCCUUUCACCGGUGAAGAUAAUGACUGUAGCCGGAGAAGAAGCCCCGGCUAACUUCGUGCCAGCAGCCGCAGUAAGAC
rnacentral:rRNA from 1 species